rnacentral:lncRNA from 1 species
GUGGAGGCAGCAAGGAGGUGGGUAAGGAGGAAGCCCAUGUAUUUCAUGUUUCUUAUAAUCAGUUUCUUUCAGGGACUUCUUCAGGCACUGCCUGAUCCCUGCACAAUGCUCCUGCUCCUGAUCAAGGAAAAGACAUGUGAUUUUGCAGUCUCCUUUAGCUCUCCUUCAUGGAAAUGAUUCUCUUGAUACUGAAACUAAAACAUCAUCUAGGCAUGGCUGAAAAGUAUGUGUGCCAACAUAGGAGAUGUCUUGGCUAAGAAAGUGGAGAAGUGACAUUCACAGAGAAGACGUCAUGGAAGAGAAAGGCAAACAAAGACAGAGGCUCCUCCUUGAAAGUUCAAUGCAAGAGUAUACAGUGAUCACCACCACGCCAGAGCCCACAGAAGAUAGCAAAGAAAAAAGAAUACAUACUUGGAUCUAAUUCAUACUUUUGUUCUGAUAAUUAAAUGUGAUUUUUAAAAAAUGCUAAGCACAUUGACUGGGUUAUAGUAAUGUUUACCAAAUCAUGUCGUUUAGUUUUU